UACGUAGGGUGCGAGCGUUAAUCGGAAUUACUGGGCGUAAAGCGUGCGCAGGCGGUUUUGUAAGCCAGAUGUGAAAUCCCCGGGCUUAACCUGGGAAUGGCAUUUGGGACUGCAAGGCUCGAGUGCGGCAGAGGAGACUGGAAUUCCUGGUGUAGCAGUGAAAUGCGUAGAUAUCAGGAGGAACACCGAUGGCGAAGGCGGAUCUCUGGGCCUGAUCUGACGCUGAGGCGCGAAAGCUAGGGGAGCGAACAGG
rnacentral:rRNA from 1 species